rnacentral:rRNA from 1 species
ACGAGUUAUCUGAACCUUCGGGGAACGAUAACGGCGUCGAGCGGCGGACGGGUGAGUAAUGCCUAGGAAAUUGCCCUGAUGUGGGGGAUAACCAUUGGAAACGAUGGCUAAUACCGCAUGAUGCCUACGGGCCAAAGAGGGGGACCUUCGGGCCUCUCGCGUCAGGAUAUGCCUAGGUGGGAUUAGCUAGUUGGUGAGGUAAGGGCUCACCAAGGCGACGAUCCCUAGCUGGUCUGAGAGGAUGAUCAGCCACACUGGAACUGAGACACGGUCCAGACUCCUACGGGAGGCAGCAGUGGGGAAUAUUGCACAAUGGGCGCAAGCCUGAUGCAGCCAUGCCGCGUGUGUGAAGAAGGCCUUCGGGUUGUAAAGCACUUUCAGUCGUGAGGAAGGUAGUGUAGUUAAUAGCUGCAUUAUUUGACGUUAGCGACAGAAGAAGCACCGGCUAACUCCGUGCCAGCAGCCGCGGUAAUACGGAGGGUGCGAGCGUUAAUCGGAAUUACUGGGCGUAAAGCGCAUGCAGGUGGUUUGUUAAGUCAGAUGUGAAAGCCCGGGGCUCAACCUCGGAAUUGCAUUUGAAACUGGCAGACUAGAGUACUGUAGAGGGGGGUAGAAUUUCAGGUGUAGCGGUGAAAUGCGUAGAGAUCUGAAGGAAUACCGGUGGCGAAGGCGGCCCCCUGGACAGAUACUGACACUCAGAUGCGAAAGCGUGGGGAGCAAACAGGAUUAGAUACCCUGGUAGUCCACGCCGUAAACGAUGUCUACUUGGAGGUUGUGGCCUUGAGCCGUGGCUUUCGGAGCUAACGCGUUAAGUAGACCGCCUGGGGAGUACGGUCGCAAGAUUAAAACUCAAAUGAAUUGACGGGGGCCCGCACAAGCGGUGGAGCAUGUGGUUUAAUUCGAUGCAACGCGAAGAACCUUACCUACUCUUGACAUCCAGAGAACUUUCCAGAGAUGGAUUGGUGCCUUCGGGAACUCUGAGACAGGUGCUGCAUGGCUGUCGUCAGCUCGUGUUGUGAAAUGUUGGGUUAAGUCCCGCAACGAGCGCAACCCUUAUCCUUGUUUGCCAGCGAGUAAUGUCGGGAACUCCAGGGAGACUGCCGGUGAUAAACCGGAGGAAGGUGGGGACGACGUCAAGUCAUCAUGGCCCUUACGAGUAGGGCUACACACGUGCUACAAUGGCGCAUACAGAGGGCAGCCAACUUGCGAAAGUGAGCGAAUCCCAAAAAGUGCGUCGUAGUCCGGAUUGGAGUCUGCAACUCGACUCCAUGAAGUCGGAAUCGCUAGUAAUCGUGGAUCAGAAUGCCACGGUGAAUACGUUCCCGGGCCUUGUACACACCGCCCGUCACACCAUGGGAGUGGGCUGCAAAAGAAGUAGGUAGUUUAACCUUCGGGGGGACGCUUA